AACGAACGCUGGCGGCAGGCCUAACACAUGCAAGUCGAACGCACCGCAAGGUGAGUGGCGCACGGGUGAGUAAUACGUGGGAAUGUAUCCUUUGGUUCGGAAUAACGUCUGGAAACGGACGCUAAUACCGGAUGAGCCCUAUGGGGGAAAGAUUUAUCGCCGAAGGAGCAGCCCGCGUCUGAUUAGGUAGUUGGUGGGGUAAAGGCCUACCAAGCCGACGAUCAGUAGCUGGUCUGAGAGGAUGAUCAGCCACACUGGGACUGAGACACGGCCCAAACUCCUACGGGAGGCAGCAGUGGGGAAUAUUGGACAAUGGGCGCAAGCCUGAUCCAGCCAUGCCGCGUGAGUGAUGAAGGCCUUCGGGUUGUAAAGCUCUUUCGCACACGACGAUGAUGACGGUAGUGUGAGAAGAAGCCCCGGCUAACUUCGUGCCAGCAGCCGCCGUAAUAC
rnacentral:rRNA from 1 species